rnacentral:rRNA from 1 species
UGGGGAAUAUUGGACAAUGGGCGCAAGCCUGAUCCAGCAAUUCCGCGUGGGUGAAGAAGGUCUUCGGAUUGUAAAGCCCUUUCGGCGGGGACGAUGAUGACGGUACCCGCAGAAGAAGCCCCGGCUAACUUCGUGCCAGCAGCCGCGGUAAUACGAAGGGGGCUAGCGUUGCUCGGAAUUACUGGGCGUAAAGGGCGCGUAGGCGGCCCACCUAGUCAGGCGUGAAAUUCCUGGGCUUAACCUGGGGGCUGCGCUUGAUACUUGUGGGCUAGAGGAUGGAAGAGGGUCGUGGAAUUCCCAGUGUAGAGGUGAAAUUCGUAGAUAUUGGGAAGAACACCGGUGGCGAAGGCGGCGACCUGGUCCAUUACUGACGCUGAGGCGCGACAGCGUGGGGAGCAAACAGG